AACCCAUGAUUUAACAGUGUACGAUCAGUCRGAUAUUGUAUUCUUGUCUAUAAGGCAUUUUUGGUUGACAUGCUUGCAAAGAGGUUUAAGCACAGAUAGGUGACGACUCUAUUGCCUUAAGUAAACCCGCACGAAAUAAUGAAUUACUCUAAUAUUUUUAUGUAUUUUAGGACUCCCAUUAGAUACAACACCUCAURUGACAUGSACAAAAUGUCAAGGCAAAAUCACAUUUACUACGGCGAUGAACUUGAAGAGCCUGCUGYCUUUGAGAAAAAAGAAAUCGAAAAUGGACACAUUGAAGGCUCAGCGUCCGAACAAGACCCGUCUGASUUAUGUUACCGGGUCUAAAMAAGCUCUGCUUAGCUGGCUUGAAAAGAAUGAGCUUUUUUAUAGAAGUAGAAAAAAAUCACCUAUUUUUAAGCAGAACUAUAAGAGAACUUAUACAGAAAAAGUCUUUUGAGAAACCGCAUCGCUGCUCAAAUAACUGCUAUGAUGCAAAUGAUUAUUUAUGCAAACAUUUGAUAAAAUUGCACUUUGAGACAAAUGUGAGAUAUGRGUUUUCAGUUGACACGUCUGCACUACUUUGUUUUCAUGUUACGUGAUUUGCGCCGAAAUUUAAGACUUGAUAAGCUAUUCCUUACUCUGACCAUAGUUAAUAUUAACUAUGCUUUGACUUGACUUUUUCUAAUUAAACAACAUUUAAUUUCUGAAAUUAACAAACGAUUGCAAAGGUUCUUGGAUGUAUGCAGGUCUUUAAUUUCGUCGAACUGAAUUCUGUUCAAAUUUAUUCAAAAGCUUCAAAAGCCAAAAUAUUAUAUAAAGAAGAGUUUCAAAGUUGUCCUUCAGUAGCGUCGUGUUGUGAAAGAAGAUGAAUGUUAGGCCGUACRCUACUGUGAUGAUACGUUUUGUUUUCAAGUUCCGUUGGACACCRACAUCAACAGGAGAGUGCAUGAAUUUACAUACUAGCUUAAGUUAGAAGGCUAGUAAUCCACUGGAUCACUGGGUGCAGUAGAUGUAAAUACAGUAAUGCAAAGGAUUUAGAACUAAAGCAUUAAGAUUCUAAAUCCUUAGUGAAUCGAACGAAAGCUUGCGAAAUAAAAYCUAUUAUAUCACAGUAGCGURCGGCCUAUCAUUCUUUUUCUUUCAAAUAUUAAGUAAAUUUUUAAAAUCAAAAUUUCGACAAAAGCGCAUAUGACGAUUUGCCUAAAAAGUACAAAAUAAAUGCACUACACUUUCAAUACAGGUGCAACUAGUGAUUUAUCAAAAUCGAUCUUUACUUUAUAAUGCACUGGAAUUACACAGUACUGACUUGUAAUAUGAAUUGUAAUUUGUAAUAUGAAUAAAUAUAUCAUAAUCUGAGGCUACUUUUCGUUUGCGCAUGAUAUGACCUAUUUCAGUCUUUAUAGUUAAAAAAGACUA